rnacentral:lncRNA from 1 species
CCAGCCUCCUGCAGUCUCCACUUUCCUGCCUCCCUCGCUGGGCAAGGCUCAGGGUCCAAGCUGAUGGCCUCCCGAUGCCCAGCGUGCCGCUACUUACUUUUGACAGUCCCGCUCCUCGCCCAGAAGAGUGAACUGAGGCUCAGAGAGGGCUGUCUGGGUGACAUUCCCCAACCUCAUCCUGCCCAGCACUUCCAGGACCCCUAGGAAGCUCUGUGCUGUGGCUCUGGGAAGGCAGACCUGACUCCAGCCGUCCACAGGACAUGUGCACCCCCGCAGGGUGUCUCUCACAGGACAACUGGUACCAGACACAUAC